rnacentral:rRNA from 1 species
GAUGAACGCUGGCGGCGUGCCUAAUACAUGCUAGUCGAGCGAACAGAUGAGGAGCUUGCUCCUCUGACGUUAGCGGCGGACGGGUGAGUAACACGUGGAUAACCUACCUAUAAGACUGGGAUAACUUCGGGAAACCGGAGCUAAUACCGGAUAAUAUAUUGAACCGCAUGGUUCAAUAGUGAAAGACGGUUUUGCUGUCACUUAUAGAUGGAUCCGCGCCGCAUUAGCUAGUUGGUAAGGUAACGGCUUACCAAGGCGACGAUGUGUAGCCGACCUGAGAGGGUGAUCGGCCACACUGGAACUGAGACACGGUCCAGACUCCUACGGGAGGCAGCAGUAGGGAAUCUUCCGCAAUGGGCGAAAGCUUGACGGAGCAACGCCGCGUGAGUGAUGAAGGUCUUCGGAUCGUAAAACUCUGUUAUUAGGGAAGAACAAAUGUGUAAGUAACUAUGCACGUCUUGACGGUACCUAAUCAGAAAGCCACGGCUAACUACGUG